rnacentral:rRNA from 1 species
AACGAACGCUGGCGGCAGGCCUAACACAUGCAAGUCGAACGCUCUAGCAAUAGAGAGUGGCAGACGGGUGAGUAAUGCGUGGGAAACUUCCUAGGGGUACGGAAUAGCUCAGGGAAACUUGGGGUAAUACCGUAUGAUGCCGUAAGGCCGAAGAUUUAUCGCCCUUAGAUGUGCCCGCGUCGGAUUAGCUAGUUGGUGAGGUAACGGCUCACCAAGGCGACGAUCCGUAGCUGGUUUGAGAGAAUGACCAGCCACACUGGGACUGAGACACGGCCCAGACUCCUACGGGAGGCGGCAGUGGGGAAUCUUGGACAAUGGACGCAAGCCUGAUCCAGCCAUGCCGUGUGAGUGACGAAGGCCUUAGGGUUGUAAAGCUCUUUUGCCGGGGACGAUAAUGACGGUACCCGGAGAAUAAGUCCCGGCUAACUUCGUGCCAGCAGCCGCGGUAA